AUACAGAAUGGUGAUCAUGUUUUAAAAAUGCCCGCAAACGACAUUUCCACCACCUACCCAGUAUAGGUAGUUUGUGAAAAGUCACCACAAGUUAAUGGACCUCCAUCUUCACAAUUCAAUUCCCUUUUGUUUCAGAUCGUGGCGACGUCAGUGGGAUUCUGGAUGCCCCAGAGGUGAUCAUCAAUGGCGUCAUAUUUACCAGCAAGUGGUGCCAUAUCUGUAAGGUCUACCGUCCCCCAAGAUGUCGACACUGCUACAGCUGUGAUGUGUGUGCAGAGAUACCUCAUUGCAGCUGGAAUGAACACAUAUGAGCAGAUUAUGAGGACAUAUAAACAUGAAAGGAAUCCAUUUGAUAAAGG